GAUGAACGCUGGCGGCGUGCCUAAUACAUGCAAGUCGAGCGAACAGACGAGGAGCUUGCUCCUCUGACGUUAGCGGCGGACGGGUGAGUAACACGUGGAUAACCUACCUAUAAGACUGGGAUAACUUCGGGAAACCGGAGCUAAUACCGGAUAAUAUAUUGAACCGCAUGGUUCAAUAGUGAAAGACGGUUUUGCUGUCACUUAUAGAUGGAUCCGCGCCGCAUUAGCUAGUUGGUAAGGUAACGGCUUACCAAGGCAACGAUGCGUAGCCGACCUGAGAGGGUGAUCGGCCACACUGGAACUGAGACACGGUCCAGACGCCUACGGAGGCAGCAGUAGGGAAUCUUCCGCAAUGGGCGAAAGCCUGACGGAGCAACGCCGCGUGAGUGAUGAAGGUCUUCGGAUCGUAAAACUCUGUUAUUAGGGAAGAACAAAUGUGUAAGUAACUAUGCACGUCUUGACGGUACCUAAUCAGAAAGCCACGGCUAACUACGUG
rnacentral:rRNA from 1 species